rnacentral:lncRNA from 1 species
CCUUCUCCUCCCCUUGUCACUGUUCUCUCCGCCAUUUGCUCCCUCUUUCACUUCUCUAUUCCACUUGGGGAUAUUGGGAGAGUGGAAGAAGGGAAACAAAAAACUCAACCCUCGGAAAGAUCAGAGAGUAAGAAUGCCUAUAAGUAAAAGGAAAAGAAAAUAUAAUCUAUGUAAAUCUGGAUCGACAGAAAGAAGAUAUUGGGAGGAAAUGGGAUGAGAG